GCAUGUUUCAUGCCUAAGUCAGACUUUUCAACUUUGUGUCUCACACGGAUUGCAAAUCACGAUUUUCCCACUCCAUUCACACGAAUUCAGAUUCAUUUCACAUGUGUGAGCCCAACAACACAUUCCAUAUAAAUAGAGGAAUAUUUUAUCUUCAUCAGCAAGCUUUGAUAGCCAAAGAAAAUCUAAAACCAUUUGAGCCCGAUACCUCAAAAAACCAUUUCUUUAGUUCAAGCUCUUUUAAC
rnacentral:lncRNA from 1 species